rfam:Naumovozyma castellii CBS 4309 chromosome 7, complete genome
UUUAUAUGAUGAGUAACCAGAUAGGGACAACAGAUCUCAAUUGAAGUGACGAGGAAAGUCUUAUAAAGUCCAGUUUUUAGUAGAGCUUCGGACGCCAAUUCUGAUA